rnacentral:rRNA from 1 species
CCUACGGGAGGCAGCAGUGAGGAAUAUUGGUCAAUGGGCGAGAGCCUGAACCAGCCAAGUCGCGUGAGGGAGUACUGCCCUAUGGGUUGUAAACCUCUUUUGUCGGGGAGCAAAAGCCGGACGUGUCCGGCUGUGAGAGUACCCGAAGAAAAAGCAUCGGCUAACUCCGUGCCAGCAGCCGCGGUAAUACGGAGGAUGCGAGCGUUAUCCGGAUUUAUUGGGUUUAAAGGGUGCGCAGGCGGAUUGUUAAGUCAGCGGUAAAAUCGUGGGGCUCAACCCCAUCCAGCCGUUGAAACUGGGGAUCUAGAGUGUGCGAGAGGUAUGCGGAAUGCGUGGUGUAGCGGUGAAAUGCAUAGAUAUCACGCAGAACCCCGAUUGCGAAGGCAGCAUACCGGUGCACAACUGACGCUCAGGCACGAAAGCGUGGGUAUCGAACAGGAUUAGAUACCCGUGUAGUC